GACGAACGCUGGCGGCGUGCUUAACACAUGCAAGUCGAACGGAAAGGCCCUGCUUUUGUGGGGUGCUCGAGUGGCGAAAGGGUGAGUAACACGUGAGUAACCUGCCCUUGACUUUGGGAUAACUUCAGGAAACUGGGGCUAAUACCGGAUAGGAUCUCCUGCUGCAUGGUGGGGGUUGGAAAGUUUCGGCGGUUGGGGAUGGACUCGCGGCUUAUCAGCUUGUUGGUGGGGUAGUGGCUUACCAAGGCUUUGACGGGUAGCCGGCCUGAGAGGGUGACCGGCCACAUUGGGACUGGGAUACGGCCCAGACUCCUACGGGAGGCAGCAGUGGGGAAUAUUGCACAAUGGGCGGAAGCCGGCUGCAGCAACGCCGCGUGCGGAAUGACGGCCUUCGGGUUGUAAACCGCUUUCGCCUGUGACGAAGCGUGAGUGACGGUAAUGGGUAAAGAGGCACCGGCUAACUACGU
rnacentral:rRNA from 1 species